CAGAGAAGCGGGAGGGCAGAGAAGCCGGGUCUGAGGGAGGAGAGGGGAUCCUCGAUUUCAUGAGUGGGAAAGGGGGUACAGUCAGAGAAAAGCAUGGGGUUAGGGAUUUCAGAUUUCAAGGGGGGAGAGAGGCUGUGCUUCGUUUCGAUGGGGCCGAGCGUCUAUGAUUCGAUCGGAUCGAGGUGAUGGGGACAACGUGAGGGGUUGAGGUGGCGUCGGGAAGGUUGCGAGAGGGUUCUGUUUCUAGGGACUGGGUUAAUUUGAUUCUUCACCUAUGAUUGGAUAUUAUAUUACAAUUGUGGGUUCUGUUUUGAGGGCUGGAUGAAAAGAAACACCCAUCAGAGCUUCUAACAACUCGAAGAAUUGCAGAUUUCUAAAUCGGAAAGGAAAAACAAGCACUAUAGCAGUUUAUGCAGAAGGAGCAUGUAAAAGAGAAGCACAAGUAAAGGUUUCUAAGAUCAGGAUGACACACCUAUCGGGGCAAUGUCGGGAUGUUUAGGCUUAGGUGGAGACGUGGACUUAUGGAAGAGGUGAAGUAGCUUAGCUCUCUGUCAUUAGCUUUAUCUGUUCUAUGCAUCUCUACAAUCUUACAAUGAUCUUUUAUUAAAUUGCAAGAUGUUGGGACCAGUUACUGGAAUACGAGAUAUGGAACAAAAGUGGUUGACAAUGCAAGAGUCGAAACCAAGUGUGAAAUUCACAUUGAAAAUGACAGGAGAGGGUUGCGCAUGAUCUAUAGGUUCAAUCAACCUCGCUGUUUUUGUGAGAAUCACAAUUAAAGGUUUAUUCUCAGCAUUUUUUUGUUAGGGUGCUGCUGAAGCUAAUAGGCUUGAGCAAUGCUCCUUCAACAAAACAAGGAAAAAAGAGUUGUUCAAAUGGCAGUAUUCGAGUCUCUUAGUGUUUCUCAUUAAUAUUAUCAUUCUAAACGCACCAAUAACAUUAUCAUUUCCUGAUGCUAUAAUGCCCCAAAUAUUUUGAUUAAAAGUGAUGAACUGCAUAACCAAACGACAUUUACCUUCUAAUUUCCAUCAAAGAGCAACUUGUUAUUAA